rnacentral:rRNA from 1 species
UACGUAGGGUCCGAGCGUUGUCCGGAGUUAUUGGGCGUAAAGCGCGCGCAGGCGGCUUGGCGCGCCCGACGUGAAAGCCCCCGGCUUAACCGGGGAGAGUCGUCGGGGACGGCCGGGCUUGAGGGCGGGAGAGGGUGGUGGAAUUCCCGGUGUAGUGGUGAAAUGCGUAGAGAUCGGGAGGAACACCUGUGGCGAAGGCGGCCACCUGGGCCGACCCUGACGCUGAGGCGCGAAGGCGUGGGGAGCGAACGGG